rnacentral:rRNA from 1 species
CCUACGGGUGGCAGCAGUGGGGAAUAUUGGACAAUGGGGGAAACCCUGAAGCAGCAACGCCGCGUGCGUGAAGAAGGAUUUCGGAGUGUAAAGCUCUAUCUGCAGGGAAGAAGACAGACGGUACCUGAUCAAGCAGCCACGGCCAACUACGUGCCAGCAGCCGAGGUAAUACGUAGGGGGCAAGCGUUAUCCGGAUUUACUGGGUUUAAGGGGAGCGUAGGCGGCUGUGUAAGUCUGAAGUGAAAGCCCGUGGCUCAACCGCGGAACUGCGUUGGAAACUGUAUAGCUAGAGUACUGGAGCGGCAGGCGGAAUGCCUAGUGUAGCGGUGAAAUGCGUAGAUAUUAGACAGAACACCAGUGGCGAAGGCAGCCUGC